GACGAACGCUGGCGGCGUGCCUAAUACAUGCAAGUUGAGCGCUGAAGGUUGGUACUUGUACCAACUGGAUGAGCAGCGAACGGGUGAGUAACGCGUGGGGAAUCUGCCUUUGAGCGGGGGACAACAUUUGGAAACGAAUGCUAAUACCGCAUAAAAACUUUAAACACAAGUUUUAAGUUUGAAAGAUGCAAUUGCAUCACUCAAAGAUGAUCCCGCGUUGUAUUAGCUAGUUGGUGAGGUAAAGGCUCACCAAGGCGAUGAUACAUAGCCGACCUGAGAGGGUGAUCGGCCACAUUGGGAAUGAGACACGGCCCCAACUCCUACGGGAGGCAGCAGUAGGGAAUCUUCGGCAAUGGACGAAAGUCUGACCGAGCAACGCCGCGUGAGGGAAGAAGGUUUUCGGAUCGUAAAACUCUGUUGGUAGAGAAGAACGUUGGUGAGAGUGGAAAGCUCAUCAAGUGACGGUAACUACCCAGAAAGGGACGGCUAACUACGUG
rnacentral:rRNA from 1 species